rnacentral:rRNA from 2 species
GCACAAGCGGUGGAGCAUGUGGUUAAUUCGAAGCAACGCGAAGAACCUUACCAGGUCUUGACAUCCCUGACAACCCGAGAGAGUCGGGCGGUUCCCCCUUCGGGGGACAGGGUGACAGGUGGUGCAUGGUUGUCGUCAGCUCGUGUCGUGAGAUGUUGGGUUAAGUCCCGCAACGAGCGCAACCCUCGACCUUAGUUGCCAGCAUUCAGUUGGGCACUCUAAGGUGACUGCCGGCUAAAAAGUCGGAGGAAGGUGGGAUGACGUCAAAUCAUCAUGCCCCUUAUGUUCUGGGCUACACACGUGCUACAAUGGCCGGUACAGACGGAGGCGAAGCCGCGAGGCGGAGCAAAUCCGAAAAAGCCGGUCUCAGUUCGGAUUGCAGGCUGCAAUUCGCCUGCAUGAAGUCGGAAUCGCUAGUAAUCGCAGGUCAGCAUACUGCGGUGAAUACGUUCCCGGGCCUU